CAGUCAUCUAACUUUGACACUCAGUUUGAAAACAACCAUAGGAAUAAAAGAUGUUAACCUUGAUUAGUUUAAACUCAACAUAUAGCGUCAACAAAAGCAAUACAACUCUCUCUUCUCUCUUUUUUUUUUCUUUUGAUAACUCAGAAGUGAUUCUAAAGACUUUCUAGGCCCAAACACUAAUCUUCUGGAGCCGGAGGCCAAGUGGGCUCUUCUCUCUUCUCUCUCCCUUCUCUUUAAAAACCCUAGUCUUUCUUGCCGCCGUUUGCCUUUCCGGCUUGCCCUUCCAGCGCCGGAGAGGGCUCCUCUUUGUUUUUUAGUAGUCUCGCCGGCGUCUCUCUUUCCUUGAAUUUGCGGCUGUCCUCCGUCCGUUUCUGGGCUCAAGGUAGGUGGUUCCAGAGUAGAUCUGGCGUGUGGCAACGACGAGAAGCUUAUGGUGGUCGCCGGAGUUUCCUCGAGACUCGUGGGUGUGAGGACAGCUCCGAUCUGGGUGUUCUCUUCGGCAGAUCUGGGUUGAGCGUCUCGUCAAGCAUCGAUAGCUCCGGUGGGUUUUGGCUUUGAUGAGUGUCGGGGUCUGAGAUCUCCUCCUUGGAUGUUCUCAGAGAUCAGUUUCAGGUGUUCUUGGUCAUCAGUUUCGCAGAUCUCCCCUUCUCCAGUCAGUUCGGUUGAUUGCUUCUUCGUGUUUGGUUUCGUCAAGUGAGUAUGUUCUCGGCUGUGCUUAAGUGUAGAUCUUGGCAUACAACUAGAAGGCAGGGAUUCUUUUGGAUGGUGAGGAAACCCUAUGUGGUUUACUUUUGGUAGAAGAUGCCAGAGGUUUCCCGAAGGUGUUUUCUCGCAGCUCAACAUUCAAUUGACUGCUCGUCUUGGAGGUCAGUUCUAGAUCCCUUGGAUCUAGUAGGCGGUUGCGGGUUCCGAUUUUUAUCUUCUGGAUUGAGCAACCAGUAUUUUAGAGAUCGUCGCGUUUUACUUCUUACUCUGGACCAGUUGUUGGGUUCCUUGCUUGGAGAUAACAGAGAUCACCAUUUAUGGAGAUGGGGGUUAGCUCUCUGAGUGUGUUCGGUUGCUAGGCAUGGGACCGUCACUGUAGAGCCUGUUGUCGGUAGUUAGAACAGGCCCGGAGAUCUGUUCCGGGUCAGGUGAGACAUUGAAGGUUGAACCGGAGUUGGAUUUCGAAUGCUUCCGAUAAGGGUUCACUUCAGUGUCUCUGCCGCAAAGGAGUGGGUCUCGCAUUCGCCGGGAUUACUGUUCCGAUCACUGUUGCAGAGUGAAUAGUUCUCCGUUCGGGAUGGAAGGCACACUUCUUGAUUCAAACUCCCUAUUUUGUGAUGAACUUCGUGGCAAUGGAGUGCCCUGAUCGGUCAAAGGGGUUGAACUUCCUUGAGUAAUAGGGAAGGAAUGUUCAGAGUCAGCGAAGAGUGUGAGCUUGUGUUCGUACAAGAAGGUGACAACGAAGAUGAGAAGUGCCAGGAACGAAGCGAUG